rnacentral:rRNA from 1 species
UACAGAGGAUGCAAGCGUUAUCCGGAAUGAUUGGGCGUAAAGCGUCUGUAGGUGGCUUUUUAAGUCCGCCGUCAAAUCCCAGGGCUCAACUCUGGACAGGCGGUGGAAACUACCAAGCUGGAGUACGGGAGGGGAAGAGGGAAUUCCCGGUGUAGCGGUGAAAUGCGCAGAUAUCGGGAGGAACACCAAUGGCGAAGGCAGCUCGCUGGGACGUGACUGACGCUGAGACGCGAAAGCGUGGGGAGCAAACAGG